rnacentral:rRNA from 1 species
AGAGUUUGAUCAUGGCUCAGAACGAACGCUGGCGGCGCGCCUAAUACAUGCAAGUCGAGCGAGAAGACGUAGCAAUACGUUUGUAAAGCGGCGAACGGGUGAGGAAUACAUGGGUAACCUACCCUCGAGUGGGGAAUAACUAGCCGAAAGGUUAGCUAAUACCGCGUACGCUCCUUGGACUUCGGUUCAGGGAGGAAAGCGAUACCGUGGGUAUCGCGCUCUUGGAUGGGCUCAUGUCCUAUCAGCUUGUUGGUGAGGUAACGGCUCACCAAGGCUUCGACGGGUAGCUGGUCUGAGAGGACGAUCAGCCACACUGGCACUGCGACACGGGCCAGACUCCUACGGGAGGCAGCAGUAAGGAAUAUUGCGCAAUGGGCGAAAGCCUGACGCAGCGACGCCGCGUGGGGGAUGAAGGUCUUCGGAUUGUAAACCCCUUUCGGGAGGGAAGAUGGAACGAGCAAUCGUUCGGACGGUACCUCCAGAAGCAG